UACGUAGGGCGCAAGCGUUUGUCCGGAAUUAUUGGGCGUAAAGAGCUCGUAGGCGGUUUGUCGCGUCUGCCGUGAAAGUCCGGGGCUCAACUCCGGAUCUGCGGUGGGUACGGGCAGACUAGAGUGAUGUAGGGGGAGACUGGAAUUCCUGGUGUAGCGGUGAAAUGCGCAGAUAUCGGGAGGAACACCAGUGGCGAAGGCGGUUACCUGGAGCUUUGCUGACGCUGAUGCGCGAAAGCGUGGGGAGCGAGUCCGG
rnacentral:rRNA from 1 species